AACGAACGCUGGCGGCAUGCCUAACACAUGCAAGUCGAACGAGACCUUCGGGUCUAGUGGCGCACGGGUGCGUAACGCGUGGGAACCUGCCCUUAGGUUCGGAAUAACUCCCCGAAAGGGGUGCUAAUACCGGAUAAUGUCUUCGGACCAAAGAUUUAUCGCCUUUGGAUGGGCCCGCGUUGGAUUAGCUAGUUGGUAGGGUAAAAGCCUACCAAGGCGACGAUCCAUAGCUGGUCUGAGAGGAUGAUCAGCCACACUGGGACUGAGACACGGCCCAGACUCCUACGGGAGGCAGCAGUGGGGAAUAUUGGACAAUGGGCGAAAGGCUGAUCCAGCAAUGCCGCGUGAGUGAUGAAGGCCUUAGGGUUGUAAAGCUCUUUUACCCGGGAUGAUAAUGACAGUACCGAGAGAAUAAGCGCCGGCUAACUCCGUG
rnacentral:rRNA from 1 species